GGCCGAUUAGCUCAUUCGAUUGAGUGUGGUGCUGAUAACACCAAGGUCGUGGGUUCAAACCCCGUUCGGUCC
rnacentral:tRNA from 1 species